AAAUUGCUGCAAAUCUUUUUGAGAGAGCCAUUACUAUGGAGAACCAUCUAAACCAUACAAGUGUGGAAACAUGGAUCAGAACAUACCUGGCCCGCAUUUGAUCCUGAAAAACGUUCUUUUUGGACCAAAUGUUGGCUGGGUAAUUUGGACUUUUAAAUGAACUUAUAUUCAUAAUUUUUAAACUGCUUAUGAUCUGAUCUGAUUUUAUUUUUGUCAUUUGUUUAUUUAAAUGUGAAAUAAACUGAUGAGUUUAUUUAACUUAGCUGGUAAAAAAAAGAGUUUUCGUGAAACAAAUUUAAUGAAGACAAUUAUAAGUAUACCUGUUAAUGUAAUAUAUUUUGUAUUGUAUUUUGUAUGCUUAGUUUUGACGAAUUUUUAAAUACUGCAAACUCACACUCGCACAAAAAUCAACUGUGAACUCUUAUUUAAUCAGUUGCAAAAGUUGACUUUGAAAAUUUUGUAUAAGAUAUUAUAGCUUAUUUAUUAGACUGUGUUUUUAAAAUGAAGUUCAUUCAUUUGCUGGCAACUUUUUUAAACGUGGUCCAGAUCGAAAAAAUUUGGUGCUAGAAAUUGUCGAUAGUGGAAGUGAUAGAUGCAUCGAACCUAAUUUGUAAUUAAUUUCUGUAAAUAAGUUUCACUUUACUAA